UGGGGAAUAUUGCGCAAUGGGGGGAACCCUGACGCAGCCAUGCCGCGUGAAUGAAGAAGGCCUUCGGGUUGUAAAGUUCUUUCGGUAAUGAGGAAGGGAUGUUGUUAAAUAGAUAGCAUCAUUGACGUUAAUUACAGAAGAAGCACCGGCUAACUCCGUGCCAGCAGCCGCGGUAAUACGGAGGGUGCGAGCGUUAAUCGGAAUAACUGGGCGUAAAGGGCACGCAGGCGGACUUUUAAGUGAGAUGUGAAAUCCCCGAGCUUAACUUGGGAACUGCAUUUCAGACUGGGAGUCUAGAGUACUUUAGGGAGGGGUAGAAUUCCACGUGUAGCGGUGAAAUGCGUAGAGAUGUGGAGGAAUACCGAGGGCGAAGGCAGCCCCUUGGGAAUGUACUGACGCUCAUGUGCGAAAGCGUGGGGAGCAAACAGGAUUAGAUACCCUGGUAGUCCACGCUGUAAACGCUGUCGAUUUGGGGAUUGGGCUAUAUGCUUGGUGCCCGAAGCUAACGUGAUAAAUCGACCGCCUGGGGAGUACGGCCGCAAGGUUA
rnacentral:rRNA from 1 species